rnacentral:rRNA from 1 species
AACGCUAGCUACAGGCUUAACACAUGCAAGUCGAGGGGCAGCAUAUUUUAGCUUGCUAAGAAUGAUGGCGACCGGCGCACGGGUGAGUAACGCGUAUCCAACCUUCCCAUGGCUCAGGGAUAACCUUGCGAAAGUAAGCCUAAUACCUGAUAUCCUCUUUAGCAGGCAUCUAAAGAAGAGGAAAGAUUUAUCGGCGAUGGAUGGGGAUGCGUCCGAUUAGCUUGCCGGUGGGGUAAAGGCCCACCGGGGCGACGAUCGGUAGGGGUUCUGAGAGGAAGGUCCCCCACAUUGGAACUGAGACACGGUCCAAACUCCUACGGGAGGCAGCAGCGAGGAAUAUUGGUCAAUGGGCGAGAGCCUGAACCAGCCAAGUAGCGUGCAGGACGACGGCCCUAUGGGUUGUAAACUGCUUUUAUACGGGAAUAAAGUGAUGCCUGCGGGCGUUAUUGCAUGUACCGUACGAAUAAGGACCGGCUAAUUCCGUGCCAGCAGCCGCGGUAAUACGGAAGGUCCGGGCGUUAUCCGGAUUUAUUGGGUUUAAAGGGAGCGUAGGCUGUCCUUUAAGCGUGUUGUGAAAUGUAGGCGCUCAACGCCUGCACUGCAGCGCGAACUGAAGGACUUGAGUGUGCACGACGCUGGCGGAAUUCGUGGUGUAGCGGUGAAAUGCUUAGAUAUCACGAAGAACUCCGAUUG